rfam:Myotis lucifugus cont2.39413, whole genome shotgun sequence.
GGCAGUUCUUGGGUGAUGAACCCUGGAAUCUGGCUCCUUCCUUUCUGGUUCCAGGUGCGUCACCCAAGAACCACC